ensembl:lincRNA
UCUCGUUCUGAGAACUGUAUGAACAGCCCAUGUGCGUCAUCAAGGUAUAAUUGACGAUAAAGACUGUGAUGUAGACCUUAUAACUUUUUCUUUUUUUUUACCUUCUCUGUCUGUAGGGCACAUGUGUUACAGGACUCUUCUACUUUGCAAGGCAAGUGGACCGUGACAACAAAAUUGGUGGGAGUGAGAGGUGGGCGUAGGAGAUGGAGGGGGUUGCGGUUGCAUUGAAUAUCUGAACUUUAUGGAAAUGAUUUGGCCGUGAGAGAGCGAAUGCACCUGCCUGCUGCGUUUACACCUGACAGCACGAGAUCUCAUGUACAAACACAGGCGCGAUCUACUUGAGUGACCAGUUUGGACCAUUUGGGUGAUUUUUCUUUGCAGAUUCUGCCAUGGAUGCAGCUGCUGCAAUGAUGUUGUUGAAAUGUCCACGAGAACGCAAAGUAUCAGAUGACAACCAGAUGGACGUGCCCCUUGAGAGCGCAGGGACUUGUAAGCACAGAGCACGCAUUGGCUUCCUGCCUGGCCUGUCAGAAUGUACCGGUGGUCUGAUCGUCGAGAACGGGCACAAUCUUCCUUAUGCUCCAAGCCCAGACCACAACUACAGUGUCCCCGCGGCACCCUCCCCGCAAUCAUCCUCCUCUUCCUCCAUCGAUGAGGAGUGCUGCAGUUUCCAUAGCAACGGUUGUCCGAGCAACGACCGUGAAGCCCAGAAGCAGGUGCCGACCCCGCUGGGUGGCGCUCUUAAGAACGGGAGAACGAUACACCGACUGCUCGCAAGGAGGAUGCGGAUGAGAGCGAGAAAGCGCUUCUGUCACUUUCUGGCUCUUGGAACGACCCAGCCGGCCAUUGAUCGACAUGCGGGACGGAUCGGAGGGACCUGGGACGAUUCCGUGAAGGAUAGACGCCAGCCGAGGAGAAGGUGGAAAUAUUGGAAGAGUCCAAAAAGAACCACCCAGAUGGUGAACUAUCGUCAUGGAGCAGGCAAAAGGAACGAGGUCUCCGAGGUCGUCGAUCGAGAACUGCAAGAAGCCGCGGGUUCUUUGCUCAAUCUCGCCGGUCUGCUUGUACAACCAGCAAAUGGUUCAGAGGUUCGAGAGAAUGCUUGGAGACGUGAGACAGACAUUUGCGGCACUCAUGGUGCGCUUCGAAGAUGCAGAUUGAAAGGAGGGUUCAACUGAUGUGUGUAGAUCUACAAGUGGGGGGGGGGGGGGGGGGGGGGGGGGGGGGGGGGGGGGGGGGGGGGGGGGGGGGGGGGGGGGGGGGGGGGGGGGGGGGGGGGGGGGGGGGGGGGGGGGGGGGGGGGGGGGGGGGGGGGGGGGGGGGGGGGGGGGGGGGGGGGGGGGGGGGGGGGGGGGGGGUAUAUAUAUACAUAUAUAACCCAAAACAAUAUGAUGAUAUGCUGUUUGGAAAAACCUUUAUAUUGGUUUACAGAAACAGUUAUGACUCUUGAAUUGGCAUGUUAUAACACUUACCUCUACAAGUCCAAAGGGCCAUCAUAUGAUAUAAAUUAAUUGGCCAAAAAAUAAGAAACUUCCUAAUAUUUAGGACCAUCCAUUGGGACCAUACUCUGUGCAAAGCGUUGGUGCUGCCUAAGCAGUUUCCUUGGCUAUUGGGCACAAUCCUGGAUGGGUCACCACUCCGACAUAGGAUACCAGCAAGCUGGCACUCAUUUUGCUGACCUCAGAAUGACAGGCUGAGUCAACCCCACCUGGUAUUUAUUCAACAGCAAAGUGGGAUUUGACCUCAGGACCACGAGGAUCCCAAACCCAUCACUAUUCAUCUGCCAAGCAGGAUUUAGAACUCAGGACCCGAGGAUCCAAACUAGGAUCCCAAACCCACAAUUCCAGCCAUUAAGCCAACAUCAGGCAUAAUAUUGAGGACCAUUUAAAAAAAACAAACAAGUAUCCUCAUGACAUUGUGGUAUCCAACAAUCCAUCCUAUGGUAUAUUUAGACUUGUUUACAUCUUCAUGUCCACGAUUAGAUUUGUAGAACGGAGUUGUGGGUCGUCUUUGAUGUGUUGUUCCAUAGACACGCAAAUGGCAGUGAUAGGGGGUGGUGAAGCGGCACAUGGGACUUGCACGUGGAAACAUCAAUGACCUAAGAUGUGCGACUGGUGCGCAGGAGUUACAGAAAUACACCACGUACAGGGAGCCAUGGUAUUCCUCCAUCUUUAAACAUGUUUCUUCAAAUAUAGUGAAGCAUAAUUCCUUGAAUCACACGAAAACCUCCUCCAUUCCCGACACCUUGAGGUACAGAUUGGUCUCAAGUCAUCACAUUCCACAAAGAAAAACCCGAAGGGUCUUGAGUGGAGGUCAUUUGUCAGUAUCUUUGUAAAGUUGAUCCUUCUGCUUUCCCAUAACUCAUCCAAGUCCAAGUGCAAUCCCUCUGAAGAGGGUAGUUGCUGCUAAUGCAGGUUGAGGGGCAAUUGAUUGCAGUGGGUGGUUUGCCAUUGUUUUCCAAAUGGGGUGGGGAUUGAACCGAUAACCAACAGACUACACA